rnacentral:rRNA from 1 species
AUCAACCGAGAUUCCCCCAGUAGCGGCGAGCGAACGGGGAGCAGCCCAGAGUCUGAAUCAGCUUGUGUGUUAGUGGAACGGUCUGGAAAGUCCGACGGUACAGGGUGAUAGUCCCGUACACCAAAAUGCACAGGUUGUGAACUCGAAGAGUAGGGCGGGACACGUGGUAUCCUGUCUGAAUAUGGGGGGACCAUCCUCCAAGGCUAAAUACUCCUGACUGACCGAUAGUGAACCAGUACCGUGAGGGAAAGGCGA